GAUGAACGCUAGCGGGAGGCCUAACACAUGCAAGUCGAACGGGAUUGAGAGCUUGCUCUCAUGAGAGUGGCGCACGGGUGAGUAACGCGUAUGCAACCUGCCUGUAACAGAGGGAUAGCCCAUAGAAAUGUGGAUUAAUACCUCAUAGUCCUGAGAAGUCGCAUGGCUUUUCAGGUAAAACUCCGGUGGUUACAGAUGGGCAUGCGUGACAUUAGCUAGUUGGUAAGGUAACGGCUUACCAAGGCAACGAUGUCUAGGGGUUCUGAGAGGAUGAUCCCCCACACUGGUACUGAGACACGGACCAGACUCCUACGGGAGGCAGCAGUGAGGAAUAUUGGUCAAUGGGGCGCAAGCCUGAACCAGCCAUCCCGCGUGAAGGAUGACGGCCCUAUGGGUUGUAAACUUCUUUUAUACAGGAAGAAAAAUCCCUACGUGUAGGGACUUGCCGGUACUGUAUGAAUAAGCAUCGGCUAACUCCGUGCCAGCAGCCG
rnacentral:rRNA from 1 species